AAAUAUGAUGACAUGUUGUCGCCCCAAGCGGAUUCGCCAGAUGAACGAACUAUUGACUUAGCCAAACACUGAAAAUUCUGAUU
rfam:Hanseniaspora valbyensis NRRL Y-1626 HANVAscaffold_19, whole genome shotgun sequence.